rnacentral:lncRNA from 1 species
AGAUAAUUCUGACAACGUAGACAAAGAUUCAUGGAAUCUGCUCUUCUAAUGAAAUUCAUUGUGCUGUUUCGAUCAUUACAAAAUAGAGAAAGGCGUGGCGCGGCGUGGCGCUGCGCGGCACAAAGAACCAUUAUUCUCAAUGGGCCAAACUAAUCCUCCUCCAAGUUGAUGGAGUCCUUGAAUUUCCCAUACAAGAUCUUCUUGAGCUCGGCCAUCUGAGCGAGCACGGAUUCCUUCUCUUCCUCCAGCCUCUCCAGAUCCUUGCUAGCAUCCUCUUUCAUCUUCUCCAACCGGAUCUCGACCUCCUCCCGUGGCAUGUGCGCGAACACCUCCCCUAUUUGGAACCUAACCACAUCCUCGUCCGAUAAGAUCAACUCAUUGCUAGCAUCCUCGAGGCUUUCAUUUGAUUCCUGCAGCAAAAAAGAGCAAGAAUAGUUAUGCAUGCGAUGUUGCUAGUGUAUUUCCAAUCUUCAUUUUCCUUCUUAGUUUUAGAGGAAAUGAGGAGCUCUAAAAAUUGUGUUUCAUAAAUUCAUCGAAUAUUCAGAAUGAUGAAAUGUGACAUGAUCACAGCUUACGUUUGAUUUCAGAUAUAUUAGGGGCUGAGGACAAAAACCACCCAUGCACUUUCACCCCUGAAUGUGUACUGUAAGUGUACUGCAAGUAUCAACCUCAGGGUUAUACUCUCAUCUUUAUUAUGGCAACGAAAUUUAGAUGACCGUUGAAUUUGGCUCUUCAAACUAAGAAAAGUGACUCUUGAAUUUGGGCACAACUCAGGUGAUUAUGUUUCAUAGGAAAGAAUGGCAUGAAAGGACACUUCUGAACGGCUCAAUAAGCUGCCAAAAUAAUUGAUCUAGUAAAGAAGGAUGGAUUGAAUUCAAAAUGCAGGACGAUGUCUCGAUAGGAUGGAAAAUAUAGGGGUGGCCUUUCAAGUAUGAGAAGUAGCAAUAGGAGAAGCUGAGUAAAAAGAUCUUCAAAGGGAUCCCUUAAUUAUUUAGUCUUUCCUUCCAUCCUCAAACCCUGCUGAACACAUCUUUGGUUGCAGGAAAGGAGAAACAGCACCAACAAAGACUAAAUUCGCACAGUUACCGCAAAGCAAACAAAGUUCCGAGCUAUUACUUCCUGCUUCAAAAUACAGCAAACACCUCUUGUAAUAAAAGAUUUGUUAGCCCUAUAUAUUGACGUUAAGUUCUCCAAACAGGAAAGAUCAGUUUGUCGAUAAUAUACAUCAUUCUUUCCCUAAACCCUGUCAACAAAUUCAGCACCACGGUUUCAAGAAUUUCAUCAUUUGUUCCAAGUACCAGAAAUUAAUAUCCAGUUGCAGCUCGUGGUUUCGACGCUCAAGCUAAAUUCUCACUAGUUUGAGGAGGUUCCCUAUUGAAGUUCAUUGAGAGUGGGACCUAACCGACUGUCCAGAUGACUGUCAUUGAGAGUGAACCUAAACGACUGGCCGCAUGAUUGUCAUUAGCUAUAACAUGUUACAACAUUUUACAGAAUUUUGGGCUGGGUGAUUAAGUGAGACAGAUCGAAGGCUCAUGUAAUUUUUUUUUCUUUUUCUUUUUUCAGAAUUCAAAAGUUUACGGGGCAAAGUGUAACCGGGUCAAAGUUCAAGGGGAUCUAGCAUAUUUUUCUCAAUGUUAUAUAAUGCAGGAAAUCAAAUUUUCCAAAGAUCUUUGUAGAUGACACUUGAGAUAGACCACCAAAGUGAACAUCUAUGAACCAAAUCAGCAAAAAGAGUCAAUACCUUUAAAACAUGGUAGUAGUUUCUAAGCCACCGUUUGGUUCGGGGUUAAGGAAAAAGUAGCUAUUCCAGGAAUAGAGUUAAGUUCAGGGUUAAAGUGGGGCUAAAGUUUUUUUGUGUUUGGUUGGGGGUUGGAGUUAGUCUAGAAUAUUGAAAAAUAGUGUUUGGUUGGAGUAGGUGGGAUAAGAAGAUACUGAUUGAUAAAGAAAGAUAAUGAUUGGUUGGAGUUGAGUAUUAAAAUUGUCAUAUUUAUAAAUUUCACUCACAAUAGUAUUUCCUGAACUACAAUUAAUAUUUUAGUUAUAAUAUCAUUUUAACCCUCCGAAAAUACUAAUUUCUAACCUUUUAAAUUUAGCCCCUAGUGGAGUUGAGUAUCGUUAGGCGUUUUCAAAUCCGAUUUGUUCCGAUCUUUCAAACUUUGCAUUGCUAUUCGAAUAUCAUUAAUAAUUCAGAAAUAUUUACGUACAUCAAGUCAAUAUGCACAUCAACGAACAUUUACACAGAUAACAACACAUUGAAUCAAAAACAAAAACAUAUACAACCAAAAUGUUUUAAAAGAGUACAAAUAUAUAACAGAGUAAAAAAAUAACAUAUCUACCUACCAAUAUUCAACGCAGAAAAUAUCAUCACAAUAUAUAACAUUAAUACAUGCUCCAUAACAGGCAUAAAUAAGCAAGUAUUACAAAGCAUAUGCAUCUCAAACAUUAUCAUCUUACAAUUGUCAAAUAACAAUAUAACCACUACACUCAAUUGUACCAAAUAUCAACACAAUUAUCUAAUUUAUAUAAAAUUAUAUUCUAGUGUUCCACAAUUGAUUUUUAAUAUUAGCACGUAGAUCCUCACCAUUUUGGGAGUCCUCAAUUACUCCCACUAAAUCGCCCACUCCACCUUCAUUUUCAGCGUCCUGUUCAUCUGGACCCUCAUCAGAAAAAAUAUUGUCAUUUGCUUGGUGACGGCGAAUAAAGUUAUGUAUUAUACAACAUGCCAUAGCAAUCAAGCAUUGAAUACGAAAACGGUGUUGCUACAUUUAGAAUUUUGAAACGCUUCUUCAAAAUGCCAAAUGUCCUCUCAACCACAUUCCUUAAUUGAGCAUGCCGGUGGUUAUACAAAUCUCGUGAAUUUCGAUGAACGUGGGCCCGUGUGCUUGCGUCAAACUGACUAAUAUGGUAACGCUCUCCUCUAUAGGGUGCAAGAAAUUUUUCAGUAUUUGCAUAUCCCGAGUCUACUAAGUAAUACUUGCCUGCAAAUAAUAUAAUAACCACAUGUCAUUAGUAUAAAAAACUUAUCUACAAUAGUGUUCAUAUAUAUUUAAAUCUAACAAAAAAUUUAUUAGCAACACUACCUUCGGGAACAACGAAACCACCUAUUUCGCAUGCCCAUCGAAGGACUCUCAUACCGGCAGCAGAGCCUUCCCAUCUUGUGCAUACAAAUAAAAAAUUAAGAUCAAAUGACACCGCAGCCAUCAUAUUUUGUGAGGUGAACCCUUUUCGACAUCGAAGUGGUGCUUGUUUACUCCUUUCGACCACUACUGGAAUAUGUGUUCCGUCGAUCGCACCAAUAUUAUUCUACAGUUUACAAAAGAAAAGAUAAAAACAUUUGUAAUAAAUUUUAUUUAUACACCAAUGUAUUAUACGUAUAAGUGUGUAUGGUUACCUUGAAAGGAUAAAAAUUUGGAUUAUCCCGAAUUCUUGGAUGCACGGCAGCAUUACUUGACGGCAACAUUAUGUAGUCAUCUUUUAGCCUCACAAUGCCGCGUAGUACAUUGUUAAAAUGCCUACUGAUGGUUUCUCCGGAAUGUUGGAAUGUUUUCGCCAAUAUUCGGUUUGCCACGCCAUGCCCUACGCCAUAUAGAAAUAUGCCUAACUGCUCAUCAUCAGUCAUAUUUCUUGUGCUACUUAUUAACCCCCUCUCGACUAAAGCAUCGCGGAGUGCAAUAAAUAUAAUUGCACUCAUACGAAAGUGAUGAUAGCAACAUUCAUGAUGACCAGAUAAGAUAUGACACAACAUUUGAUGUCCGGUAAACGACCGAGUCCGACACCUUUGUCUGGGUACUCUAUUUGCAACUGGUUCAGAUUCUAACUCAAGUAGCAUUAUAGCCUCGAUAGAUUCAUCAUCGUUAUCUAAUAUUGUCAUAAUGGUGGCUAUGAACGCUGAAGAAAAAAUUCUUUUGUAUAGUGGGUUCGCCAUUAAUGUCUUUCUAAUUGCAACUGUUGUAAAUAUCGAAUAAAUCAGCACUUAAUAAUAAAUAAUAAAAAUAAAUAAAUACACACGAACAUAUAACUAUAGCAAGAGGUAAUAUAUAUGGCGCCAACAUAUAAUAAUCUUCCAACAACAGAAAAAUAUGCAAAGCUAAUAAGAGUAGAGGAAACAUAAAUUAAAGCGUCAUACAAUCAAGAGUCACCACCACAAGGUAGAAACUAUGCAAAGUUAAGAUAAAGAAGAACUACCAAUACCACCACAAGCUAGAAAAUAUGCACGUCCACACGCAAUAUAGGUCGAGGUACGAUAAAGAAGAACUACCAAUACGCCAUUUGUCUAAAUCUCGGAAAAUGACGGCCUAUAGAUAAGAUUUUGCUGCGCAAUUUCUCGCUCAACCCACUUUCUUGCAUGCUUGUCAUUCAAUGACAUGAAAGUAUUGCGAUUCUUUUCUUCCUUAAACGCAUCACAGAGAACUAAGAUAUCAUCAUCACUUAAUCCCGUCAUCCCAUACACUCGUUGCAUGCAUUGGUUCUGCGAUGGCAUAUCAGUGCUCUUGCUCAGCUCUAGCUGACAUAGUUGCCGCACCCAACCAAGCUUUUCCUUACCCUGCUCCGCGAUGUCAAGGAAAGCAGAAGUCCGGGCAUCUACUUUCUUUUUUCGUCCCCCAGAUGUAGAUGCCGUUUGUGCUUGCUUAUUGCUACGCUCUGGAGAACGAGCUCUUUUACUACCAGAGCUAUGAGCAGAACCACUUGCACCAGUUGUAGGCAUCACGGGAGGGCUUGGGGAGCGUGACGUAUUUGCUUCAUCAAAGUUAGCAUAUCUGGCGCACCCAGAUCCCCCUGCUUCGAAUGGGUCAGAUGAGAGAUUACAAGCUGACAUUCCAAUGCCAGCAAUAGUAUCAUCCUCACCAGGGGAUGACCCAGAGGAGCUUUCAAUUAUAGGGGGAAGCUCCACAGCACUUGUAAAUGCAUAUCUUCCUGUCGCAGUUGUAUUUUGGGUAAGAAAUUCCAUGUCAUCGUAGGCGGGAAAGGGCUUAUCCCUACACCUGGCGUACGCCGGAUUCUCCUGAAGUAAUAAUAUUAACAAUUUAAUACUAUCAUAUAAUGUACAUGUCUUAAUAAGACAGUAACGCUAGUAUAAAAGAAAUUGUAAUUACCGCUAUUAUAGAAUCUCAGAUUCUUGCGUCACCAGGUGUGGGAAUGUGCAAGUCAGAGUUCCAUCCCCACCCGCUCUUGUUGGCAAGAGAAUGGUACAAAUUGAAAAUUUUUUUAAAACUUUAAAUCGAUUCUUCAAUUGUGUCUUUGUUAGGUUCAUAUUGUUUCGACUGUUGAAAUCAUUUACUAUCCGCUUCCACGCAAUCGGAGUGAAUGACCCAUUUACGUACCAAAUGUAUGUUCAUCUCUCAUAAGCCCCAACAAUUGUGUAUCCAAAAUGUUGCUCCAAUUUUGACUUCUAGUUCUUGUAUCAAUACGAAUGCUACUGCUAGCCUCAAUAGGUGACUCAUCUGCGAGCCCAUGAUGCUUCUGUUUGGACUUAGAAACUUUUUUGAAUGGACGCAUCUGUAGUUUAUAAUUAAAAAGAGUGCAUGAUAGAUGCAUGAAUAUGAGUUAAAUGCAAGACUUGUUUUUCACUACCAAGUAUAGUGCAUAAUGGCUACAAGGGUCUACCCCUUAACCCCCAACCAAACACUAGCUAAGAAAAUCAUACCCAAACACUAGCUAAAUGGGGUGGGGUUUACUAACCCCACCCCCUCCCAGCUUUAUCUCUGCACGUUUCCCGAGCUCCACUUUCCCCUUUCUUCUCUCCAGCUUCUUCCUCUUCCUCUCCAUUCUCACGCCUUGCUCCCCAAGCUUCACGCCCCUCUCCCACGCCUUGCUCUCCAAGGUUAACCGCCGGAUCCCCUUCACCUCGGCCCGAAGCCCCUCCGGCCUCACCUUCACUUGUCGCCUGUCCUCCCCUCUCGUUGCCUCACCUCCGGUCUUCGCUGCAUCACCUCCGGUCGUCACCUCACCUCCCCUUCGGCCUCACCUUCGCUCCGGCCUCACCAUCGCUCGUUGCCUGUCCUCCCCUCUCGUUGCCUCACCUCCGGUCUUCGCCUCAUCACCUCCGGUCGUCGCCUCACCUCCCCUCCGACCUCACCUCCCCUCCGGCCUCACCUCUAGUCGUCGCCUCACCUCCCCUCCGGCCUCACCUCCCCUCGUCGCCGCCUUACAUCCCCUCCGGUCUCACCUCCUGUCAUCGCCUCACCUCCUCUCGCCUCACCUCCCCUUCGGCCUCACCUCCGGCCGUCGCCUCACCUCCCCUCGUCAGCGUUGGUCGUAAGUGCCUCACAUCUGGCUAAACCCUUUGCUACUUCUUCCUCGAUCUACCGAUCUGUGCCCUCCUUCAUCAGCGAUUUGCUUGAUGAUAUUUUUUUGGGGGCUUUCUUCACAUGCGAUCGGUGUCGGCUUUAACCUACAAUUUGGUUGUUGAUUCGGUUGGUGAAUCAUCUCGAUUUGGGGUUUUCUUCACCUGCAAUCUGUGUCGGCCUUAAGCUGCGACUUGCUUGUUGAUUCGGUUGUUGAUUUUUUGUUUUGGGGUUUCCUUAUCGGCGAUCUAUGCCGCCCUAAAUCUGUGAUUUUGUUGCUGAAUCUCUGUUUUCUGGUUUUGUCCGCCUGUGAACUGUGUCGCCAUUCUCACGCACGAUCCUUGCUGUCGGAGAGGCUUCGUGCUGCCAACUGUGGAAUUUGCUUCACAUCUUGCCAUUUGCGAGUUUUUUGUACACCCCCACUGUGCGUCCCUGCAAGUUGCUUGGGUCGAUCUUUAUUUUCGGGUUUAGAUUAAUUUGUGUGGCGUGGGUAUCUCUGUGCUUGCCUGUGGACAUCCUUGAGCUUGGUAUAUUUGCUAUAGCCAAGUUACAUUAUUUCUAACUUUUCUAUUUAUCCAAUGCUGGUGAAAUAAAUCAAACGAAUCUGCAUGCUAGUUGGUAUAAUGAAGAUUAUGCAUAUUGGUAAUUCAGAUCAUACUUUUGCAUUUUCUGCUGCCUGUUCAAUAUCGAUAUCUGAUAAUACUUGCGCAUAUUCUCGUUGCUACAUGAAAUAGCCAAGUUAUUCAUACUCUUCUCUCGGAUGUCGUGAGGAAGAAUUGUAGAUACACUGAUGAGGGAAAGAUAUACUGCUGGGAAAUAUAUGGUUCGGCGAUGAUGACGGUUUCUAAUUAAGAUUAGAUGGAUGGCAUCGAUUGAAAAAUUAAUGCAACCCCAUUUUAGUUGGAAACCACUUGAGCCAUUUGUGGGAAUGAACUAUCUAAACCUUAUUUCGACGAACAUGCUUUUGUACAUAGGAGGCAGAUAUGUAAUUAAAUAUGUAAUUUAUCGUUGAUUUAAGUAGACCCUUAUAGCCAUUAUACACUAUACUUGGUAGUGAAAAACAAGUCUUGCAUUUAACUCAUAUUCAUGCAUCCAUCAUGCACUCUUUUUAAUUAUAAACUACAGAUGCGUCCAUUCAAAAAAGUUUCUAAGUCCAAACAGAAGCAACAUGGGCUCGCAGAUGAGUCACCUAUUGAGCCUAGCGGUGGAAUUCGUAUUGCUACAAGAACUAGAAGUCAAAAUUGGAGCAACAUUUUGGAUGCACAAUUGUUGGGACUUAUGAGAGAUGAACAUACAUUUGGUAAUUACGUAAAUGGGUCAUUCACUCCGAUUGCGUGGAAGCGGAUGGUAAAUGAUUUCAACAGUCGAAACAAUAUGAACCUAACAAAGACACAAUUGCAGAAUCGAUUUAAAGUGUUAAAAUUUUUUUUCAAUUUGUACCAUUCUCUUGCCAACAAGAGCGGGUGGGGAUGGAACUCUGACUUACACAUUCCCACACCUGGUGACGCAAGAAUCUGAGAUUCUAUAAUAGCGGUAAUUACAAUUUCUUUUAUAAUAGCGUUACUGUCUUAUUAAGACAUGUACAUUAUAUGAUAGUAUUAAAUUGUUAAUAUUAUUACUUCAGGAGAAUCCGGCGUACGCCAGGUGUAGGGAUAAGCCCUUUCCCGCCUACGAUGACAUGGAAUUUCUUACCCAAAAUACAACUGCGACAGGAAGAUAUGCAUUUACAAGUGCUGUGGAGCUUCCCCCUAUAAUUGAAAGCUCCUCUGGGUCAUCCCCUGGUGAGGAUGAUACUAUUGCUGGCAUUGGAAUGUCAGCUUGUAAUCUCUCAUCGGACCCAUUCGAAGCAGGGGGAUCUGGGUGCGCCAGAUAUGCUAACUUUGAUGAAGCAAAUACGUCACGCUCCCCAAGCCCUCCCGUGAUGCCUACAACUGGUGAAAGUGGUUCUGCUCAUAGCUCUGGUAGUAAAAGAGCUCGUUCUCCAGAGCGUAGCAAUAAGCAAGCACAAACGGCAUCUACAUCUGGGGGACGAAAAAAGAAAGUAGAUGCCCGGACUUCUGCUUUCCUUGACAUCGCGGAGCAGGGUAAGGAAAAGCUUGGUUGGGUGCGGCAACUAUGUCAGCUAGAGAUGAGCAAGAGCACUGAUAUGCCAUCGCAGAACCAAUGCAUGCAACGAGUGUAUGGGAUGACGGGAUUAAGUGAUGAUGAUAUCUUAGUUCUCUGUGAUGCGUUUAAGGAAGAAAAGAAUUGCAAUGCUUUCAUGUCAUUGAAUGGCAAGCAUGCAAGAAAGUGGGUUGAGCGAGAAAUUGCGCAGCAAAAUCUUAUCUAUAGGCCGUCAUUUUCCGAGAUUUAGACAAAUGGCGUAUUGGUAGUUCUUCUUUAUCGUACCUCGACCUAUAUUGCGUGUGGACGUGCAUAUUUUCUAGCUUGUGGUGGUAUUGGUAGUUCUUCUUUAUUUUAGCUUUGCAUAGUUUCUACCUUGUGGUGGUGACUCUUGAUUGUAUGACGCUUUAAUUUAUGUUUCCUCUACUCUUAUUAGCUUUGCAUAUUUUUCUGCUGUUGGAAGAUUAUUAUAUGUUUGCGCCAUAUAUAUUACAUCUUGCUAUAGUUAUAUGUUCGUGUGUAUUUAUUUAUUUUUGUUAUUUAUUAUUAAGUGCUGAUUUAUUCGGUAUUUACAACAGUUGCAAUUAGAAAGACAUUAAUGGCGAACCCACUAUACAAAAGAAUUUUUUCUUCAGUGACCAUAGCCACCAUUAUGACAAUAUUAGAUGAUGAUGAUGAAUCUAUCGAGGCUAUGAUGGUACUUGAGUUAGAAUCUGAACCAGUUGCAAAUAGAGUACCCAGACAAAGGUGUCGGACUCGGCCGUUUACCGGACAUCAAAUAUUGUGUCAUAUCUUAUCUGGUCAUCAUGAACGUUGCUACCAUCACUUUCGUAUGAGUGCAAUUAUAUUUAUUGCACUCCGCGAUGCUUUAGUCGAGAGGGGGUUAAUAAGUAGCACAAGAAAUAUGACUGCUGAUGAGCAGUUAGGCAUAUUUCUAUAUGGCGUAGGACAUGGCGUGGCAAACCGAAUAUUGGCGAAAACAUUCCAACAUUCCGGAGAAACCAUCAUUAGGCAUUUUAACAAUGCACUACGCGGCAUUGUGAGGCUAAAAGAUGACUACAUAAUGUUGCUGUCAAGUAAUGCUGCCGUGCAUCCAAAAAUUCGGGAUAAUCCAAAUUUUUAUCCUUUCAAGGUAACCAUACACACUUAUACGUAUAAUACAUUGGUGUAUAAAUAAAAUUUAUUACUAAUGUUUUUAUCUUUUCUUUUGUAAACUGUAGAAUGCUAUUGGUGCAAUCGACGAACACAUAUUCCAGUAGUGGUCGAAAGGAGUAAACAAGCACCAUUUCGAUGUCGAAAAGGGUUCACCUCACAAAAUAUGAUGGCUGCGGUGUCAUUUGAUUUUAAUUUUUUAUUUGUAUGCACAAGAUAGGAAGACUUUGCUGCCGAUAUGAGAGUACUUCGAUGGGCAUGCGAAAUAGGUGGUUUCGUUGUUCCCGAAGGUAGUAUUGCUAAUAAAUUUUUUGUUAGAUUUAAAUAUAUAUGAACACUAUUGUAGAUAAAUUUUUUAUACUAAUGACAUAUGGUUAUUAUAUUAUUUGCAGGCAAGUAUUACUUAGUAGACUCGGGAUAUACAAAUACUGAAAAAUUUCUUGCACCCUAUAGAGGAGAGCGUUACCAUAUUAGUCAGUUUGACGCAAGCACACGGGCCCGCGUUCAUCGAAAUCCACGAGAUUUGUAUAACCACCGGCAUGCUCAAUUAAGGAAUGUGGUUGAGAGGACAUUUGGCAUUUUGAAGAAGCGUUUCAAAAUUCUAAAUGUAGCAACACCGUUUUCGUAUAAAGUUCAAUGCUUGAUUGCUAUGGCAUGUUGUAUAAUACAUAACUUUAUUCGCCGUCACCAAGCAAAUGAUAACAUUUUUUCUGAUGAGGGUCCAGAUGAACAGGACGCUGAAAAUGAAGGUGGAGUGGGCGAUUUAGUGGGAGUAAUUGAGGACUCCCAAAAUGGUGAGGAUCUACGUGCUAAUAUUACAAAUCAAUUGUGGAACACUAGAAUAUAAUUUUAUAUAAAUUAGAUAAUUGUAUUGAUAUUUGGUAGAAAUGAGUGUAGUGGUUAUAUUGUUAUUUGACAAUUGGGGCUGAUUAUGAUGUAUGAGAUAGAUAUACUUUGUAAUACUUGCUUUUUUAUGUCUGUUAUGGAACAUGUAUUAAUGUUAUAUAUUGUGAUGAUAUUUUCUGCGGUUGAAUAUUGGUAGGUAGAUAUGUUGGUAGAUAUUCUUAUUUUUUUACUCUGUUAUAUAUUUGUACUCUUUCAAAAUAUUUUGGUUGUAUAUGUUUUUGUUUUUGAUUCAAUGUUGUUGUUAUCUGUGUAAAUGUUCGUUGAUGUGCAUAUUGACUUGAUGUACGUAAAUAUUUCUGAAUUAUUAAUGAUAUUCGAAUAGCAAUGCAAAAUUUGAAAGAUCGGAACAAAUCGGAUUUGAAAACGCCUAACGAUACUCAACUCCACUAGGGGCUAAAUUUGAAAGGUUGGAAAUUAGUAUUUUCGGAGGAUUAAAAUGAUAUUAUAACUAAAAUAUUAAUUGUAGUUCAGGAAAUACUAUUGUGAGUGAAAUUUAUAAAUAUGACAAUUUUAAUAUUGUUGUUUGAAAAUUUGAGGAAUUUUUCAAAAUUACAAAAUAGUGGAAAAUAAUUUUUGGUAUACAAUUACGCAAAAAUUUAUAUAAUUUUAAUCCUCAUAAUAAUGAGCAAGCAUAGAAUUUUUAAAACAAUAAAGAAAAUAUUUAUUUCAAAUGAUUACAGUGAGGCUAUUUUAGUAAUUUUACUUUCUUUAUUAAUCAUUAUCCUUCUUAUCCCACCUGCUCCAACCAAUCAUUAUCCUUUUUUAUCAAUCAUUAUCUUCUUAUCCGACCUACUCCAACCAAACACUAUUUUUCAAUAUUCUAGACUAACUCCAACCCCCAACCAAACAAAAAAAAAACUUUAACCCCACUUUAACCCUGAACUUAACCCUAUCCCUGGAAUAGCUACUUUUUCCUUAACCCCGAACCAAACAGUGGCUUAGGAAACUGUAGAUAUCAUGACAAGAUCCACUUCUUUUCCUCAGGAAUUAUGAAAGUAGAUCCGCAAGAACAAGCUGAGCUCUUAACUUAGCACCAGGACUUAAAAAAAAAUAAAAAUAAGUUCACAAAUUAUAUGAGAUUGAUCUCUAGUAUUUUAAUGAUGUGAAACAGAAGGGGAAAUAUUUGCACAGUGCUUGUUUUAGCAGGGUUUUGCAGUGGCAGCUGCUUCUAGUUCUCUACCUGCUUUACUUGUACGCUCCCUGCUCUUAAAUUCUACUACCAAACUGUAACAACCCAAAAUUCGAGCAAAAAGGCGUCAAAAAAGGUUAAAAAAAAAAACUUUUCCAAAUCUCUGAGCAGGAAUUUGAAUGAACCAAGUCAAAUAGACACUGUGAAUGAAUUAAAUUAAAUGAGUUAUAUGUUAAUUUGAUUCAACACGAAUUGAAUUUGAAGCAAGCAAGUUCAAAAAAUCUUUGCAAGGUUUCAAAUGAGUUUAAUGAGGUCCUGGUCAAGUUUGAUUUGAUUUGAUUUGAAUGCAGAUUGAUAAAAAAUCGAAAGGUUUCAGUACAAUUGGAGCGUUACACCGCCACUCGCUCGAAAUGCAUAGGAAUCUCAAUUUAACUUGCCCAAACCAUAGACUCUUAAUAGGAGACCUAAAACACGAUUAACACCUCCCAAUUAGAAAGUUCUUGGGGCUCAAAACCUACGCCAAAAAUAUCAAAUCUGAAAAUACUACCUAAAUCUCAUAUUUGGUCAAGAACCCAAUUUGGAGCAAUACAACUUCCAUAUAAUUUAUCAAAACCAAAAUCAUGGCCUAUCCAUAUAGCUUUGUAUUGGCCCUUAAAUUCAAGUAAAAAGAAUCAAAACUUCACAAUUAACCCUUAUUUUGCACUCCCAAUGUUCUAAUUCGCAAAUGUCAAUCUAAUUCCUUAUUAGGAUAAACCCCUAAUUUAAAAAUUUGAGUAUAAAGCUAUAAAACCCUAAAACUAUAGCCGGGUACAAAUGUACCUGUCACUGCCCAAAUACCCGCCCUUCAAGUAAUUUCCCCACACGUCCCCACCCCACCCCCAGGUACCUCCGACUCUACCCUACCCAUGCUGCCCCUAUAAAGUAAUAUGCACAUUUAUGUAAAAUGUCAAUGUUUCAGAUUUUUAGUUUCCAAUUACACACACACACACACACACACACACACACACACACAUACACAUAUAUAUAUUAUCGGGGUUGGGCGGAUACGAGUAAUGGGGCGGGGCGACCUCAUUCCGACCCUGCCUUGUACCCAAGCCCUUCCCCUGAGUAGGUCGGGUAUGUACCCGCCCCGCUCCCGGUCAACAUGUUGACUACCUGACCCGCUCGGGUAUCCGCAGGUAUGAGCACAAUUGCCAUCCCUAGAAACAAUAUGCAUAUAAGAAUGAGAAUAUGCUCACUUGGCCCGAAUUGGAGAGAUUCUAGCUUAGAGGUGAAGUCCUUCAAAUUUUCACAAAUUUUCUUUUGAAAUUAGAUGGACAAGCCUUCUCCUAAGAUCUGAUCAUGCAAGAGUAGAAGAGGAGUUGUUUUGUAGCUGUUUGAAAGAAAGAGAGAAGAGGAAGAAUGAAAUUCCUUCUGCUCUUUUCUUCUAUGACACUUUAAGGCCAUAUCAGUCUUUUCACAGGGACUUAGAGGGUUUGAAAAGGUUUAGGCCAAUGCAUGUCGACCCCCAAGCCGCUGUAGGCAAGUUUUAAAUUAUAAAAGAUCAAAAUUAUCCUCAUAAAACUGAAAAAUUCCUAAUUAUCUUGCCGCUAUAUAGCAAUUCAGAUCACACUGACACACUUUAGUAAACACUUGACAUCUCACUCAUCCAAAAUCUGUUUUGCGUGAUUCAAGAUGCAUUGAAAAUGUAACUCGAAAAUCUUUCCAACAGGACCAAUUUCAUAUGAAUUGGAUUCCAAAAUCUCAAUUAAAAGUUCUCUCAAAGUGGCAGCAUGUGCAGUGGCAGCACGAGUUCAAGUAUCUCUAAAAUCCUCAGAUUUAAGAUAUGUUGUCAUAUCCAUGCUUGAAGUUACUCAUCCGUUUAUACCCUUUUCAGAUACAUUAAGAGCCAUCAAGAGGUUGAUAUUGGUUCUCAAGGAAUCCAAAGUAGCCUGCAACUUUCAACCAAUUAACAAGCCAACGCCAAGUUUAUCCAAUGACAGAAUUUUAGCAUUAGAAGUUAACAAAGUUCAGGCAUUAGGUCAGUCUAGUUUCCUAGAGUUCAAAAGAAAGCCUCCCUGCUGUCACAUAUAAAGAAGACCAAAUCAACAUGAAAAUGCAUCUCAUUCAGGUGCAAAGUAAGAAUGACUAUGUUGACUAGACUGUGAUUAAGAUAAUUUUUCACAACCCUGCCAAUUAACAUAGCGGUAAUUAGUGAAAUGCCUAAUUACAAUAAAUUGCCCAACAUCAAGUAUCAAUUCUGCACUAUACUUGAUAGGAUUACCUAUUUAAGGAUUUCAGCUCUUUGUGUUACCCUCCUUUCUGGAAUUAGUUAGGAUAAAAGCUUAACAAUUGGGAUACCACAAUUUCGCCAUACCCCUUAAAAAUCCUAUCCCUGGGAUCAACUGUGAUGUGCUCAAUUGCUUUCUAGUGAGAAAUGUUAUCAUCUUUUCCAUCUGUAUUCUUUUAUAAUUCUCUUAGCAUGUCAUAAUUCAAUUUUAUGCCUUUUUUUCCCAUUUUCUUGAUUCUCCUUGCAGCAGGUCUGACUGAAAUGCUAUUCAGAAAUAUCUAGUUGUAAUCGGUAUUAAACUUUUGCUUCGUUUUGUAUAUGUCCAUUGAUUCAAGUUGGGUAUCUAUACACUUGUAUACCGGCUUAAUUGUUAUCAUAUUACAGUUUAUCGAGUCAAAGAACCAUAGGCACUCAGGAUUGAAUCGGAUCAGAUAGGAUGAGAAAGCAAUAUUUUGAGGUGUUUCUGGGGACAUAUGAUGGGAUUUCCAAAAGUCAAUUUUUGUUCAAGCCCAACGUCUUGAGAGGUGCACGAUAUCAUAACUCACAUAACAAUUUUCAUUCUCUCUUACCAAGUUCUAACAAAAUCCUACACAAUCAGAAAUCUACACAUGGACAGCAAAACAAGUAAGUAGAACAGACAUCCUAAAAACUAUCAGUAAGCAAUCUAAUCAAGUUAAAGUUCAUGAAUGAACAUCCCGCAACAAUGCUUACCAAGGAUACCACAUGACUAAGAAGUAGCUUAGUUGAAACAAGAUGAUAGCUCAUUCUUACGCACAAAAGAACAAAGAAAUAUAUCCCAUGAUACCUUUAAGUUUAUUUUGGAGAAUCAUGGGAAAGAAUUUCAUCUUUAAAUCAAAAGAUUAAUCUCAACUCUCGAGUUAGUACUAUCCCCAUAAAUCAAGAAGCUAAAAUCAAACCCCGAUCUUGAUAUACCCUAACCUCCAUACCAUUCAUCAAAA